AUUGAACGCUGGCGGCAGGCCUAACACAUGCAAGUCGAGCGGAUGAAGGGAGCUUGCUCCUGGAUUCAGCGGCGGACGGUUGAGUAAUGCCUAGGAAUCUGCCUGGUAGUGGGGGAUAACGUCCGGAAACGGGCGCUAAUACCGCAUACGUCCUGAGGGAGUAAGUGUGGGAUCUUCGGACCUCACGCUAUCAGAUGAGCCUAGGUCGGAUUAGCUAGUUGGUGGGGUAAAGGCCUAUCAAGGCGACGAUCCGCAACUGGUCUGAGAGGAUGAUCAGUCACACUGGAACUGAGACACGGUCCAGACUCCUACGGGAGGCAGCAGUGGGGAAUAUUGGACAAUGGGCGAAAGCCUGAUCCAGCCAUGCCGCGUGUGUGAAGAAGGUCUUCGGAUUGUAAAGCACUUUAAGUUGGGAGGAAGGGCAGUAAGUUAAUACCUUGCUGUUUUGACGUUACCAACAGAAUAAGCACCGGCUAACUUCGUG
rnacentral:rRNA from 1 species